GGAAAACCCCAUGAGGCAACAGAGGAGCCCAGGGAAGACAGUGUUCCAGGAAAGAGGAAGAAGUCAAGAGCUCAGGGCUUCAAGUGACCACAGAAGUGAAGAACGUCCAAACCCUCUGGACUUCAUAGCAAGGAGGUCAUCGGCAACCCUGGCGAGAACGGCUUCAGGGCAGUUGGGGCGGAUUCAGAUUGCAUGGGAGUCACGAAAGCAGAGGCCCAGAGACGGUGGAAGGAAGUGAGACUGGACGCGGAACCUGUACUUUGAGACUCCAAACUCUGCUGUCUCCUUGCAGAGAGGACCCUCACAUUCCUGGGCUUCGAGGCGCUCAGUGGGCGGAUCUAGUGGUCAACAGUUGCCUCAGACUCCAGCAAAUCUCGCUUGACGGUGCAGCCUUCCAUGGCUCUUGCUCUGCUCGUCUCGGCCUCACUUGGCUCUGAAACCACAUCACCCCAGCUCCAAGCACGACUCAACCCUCUACCUGCUGUGUGACAUUGAGCAAGUUUAUUAAUCUCUGUGCUUCAGUUUCCUCACUUGCAAAAUGAGGAUAAUAAUAUUGUUAACACCUAAUCAAGCUGUUAUGAGGAUUAAGGAAUGAAGGAAAUCAUAAAAAGUGCUAGAUAGUUUCCUCCACAUAAGUCUUUCGUGGAUUUAUUCCUAGAUUCCUUACUUUUUUGUUACUACAAAUGAAAAAAUUAAAUUUCACUUUUUCUAACUACCAGUUGUUGGUAUAUGAAAAUACAACUUAUUUUGGUAUAUUGUAAAUUUAUUACUUUUAAUAGCUUAUAAAUUUCCUUAAAUUUUCUAUGUAUACGGCCAUGUCACACUUGACUGAUGACUCUUUC
rnacentral:lncRNA from 1 species